rnacentral:rRNA from 1 species
GAACGGUAACAGGUCUUCGGAUGCUGACUAGUGGCGAACGGGUGAAUAGUAGAUCAGAGACGUGCCCAGACAGUGUGGGAUAACGAAACGAAAGCUUUGACUAAUACCGCAUACGAUCUCAGGAUGAAAGCAGGGGACCGCAAGGCCUUGCGCUCACGGAGCGGCCGAUGGCAGAUUAGGUAGUUGGUGGGAUAAAAGCUUACCAAGCCGACGAUCCGUAGCUGGUCUGAGAGGACGACCAGCCACACUGGGACUGAGACACGGCCCAGACUCCUACGGGAGGCAGCAGUGGGGAAUAUUGGACAAUGGGCGCAAGCCUGAUCCAGCCAUGCCGCGUGCAGGAUGAAGGCCUUCGGGUUGUAAAGUGCUUUUGUACGGAACGAAAAGACUCUGGUUAAUACCUGGGGUCCAUGACGGUACCGUAAGAAUAAGCACCGGCUAACUACGUGCCAGCAGCCGCGGUAAUACGUAGGGUGCGAGCGUUAAUCGGAAUUACUGGGCGUAAAGCGUGCGCAGGCGGUUAUGUAAGACAGAUGUGAAAUCCCCGGGCUCAACCUGGGAACUGCAUUUGUGACUGCAUAGCUAGAGUAUGGCAGAGGGGGAUGGAAUUCCGCGUGUAGCAGUGAAAUGCGUAGAUAUGCGGAGGAACACCGAUGGCGAAGCAAUCCCUGGGCCUGUACUGACGCUCAUGCACG